CUAGAACUGCACUGUCCAACACAGUAGCCAACAGCAACAUGUGGCUACUUAAUUAAAAUGAGAUAAAAUUAAAAUCCAGUCCCAAGAACCAGCUGCACUCAAGUGCUCUGUGGCCACAUGCGCCUCCGGCCACACUGGGCAGCACCGAGUGUUUCCAUCACAGAAAGUGCUCAUGGACAGCAGUGCUCCAGAAAAACAGAUAUCAAAAAAUGGCCAGUGCAUCUCUUCGGUUUUAAUACCUGGAAGACGCAAGCAGUUUGUCAUUUGGUCCUGUGUGAAAGCUAGAGCCUUCUCCUUUGUAAUGCCAUCUGAUCUACAGGGACGGAGCCAUCUCCUCAUCCGUCAGGACCUCACUAACCCACUACAUUGGCAAACCAUGUGCAUGGAUCCCUGAAAUAAGCAGUAAGUACCUUCUACAUUUUAGUAAGGCCAAUAUGGUAAGUUUUAAC
rnacentral:lncRNA from 1 species